ensembl:lncRNA
GUAGUAGAGAAGUGCUGAUCCAGGCAGGAAGUGACAUAGCAAGGAGGCUCAUAUUUAAGUGAAGGAGAAACAGGAAGGGCCCCUUUUUCCCGUUCGCCUCCUCCAGUGGCAAGAUGUGAUCCACCGACAAGGAGGGACGCCAAUAAGGUACUGAAAGACAUACCAUGCUUCAUAUAGAUGCAAAAGGAGGGCAUAAAGGCCUUUUGUGGACAUGGACUGAACAAGCCAGGAGACUGAUAAUUCAAAGCAGAAGGAAUAGGACCACAAGCACAGAUUGUACCAGCUAUCAAGGAAACUGUAAAGAAAAUUCUGUGGCUGUUGGGGAACUGAGUGGAGCCCAAGGUGUGGAUGCUGGACACCUCCCCAUGACCAGUGGAUUACAGAGGAACUUUCAUCUCUAUGAAAAUACUUUCUUCCCCCUGCAGUGCUGUUGCCAGGGAGUAUGGGGGUCACUUUGCUUAGAUCAGUGCCAUGCUCAGCCAUCAUCAGAGAUGCUUCCUGUUGCCGCAGAUGAGAACAAAUGUGAGACCCAGAGCCAGACAAUAUGCAGAGAGUGAGAAACUUUAUACCACUCAGUCCUAUGUGGUCUUAAUCAAAUCCUCUCUCGGGACUCAGGUGAUCAUGCAGAAGAGGAGACAGAAAGAGUGUAUGAACCAGAAGGCAUGGAGGACACCAAAGAAACAAGGUGCUCUAAGUGAACAGGAUCAAUGCACACAUGGAAGCAGAGACGGAGGCAGCAUGCACAGAGUCUGCACAAGUCUGCAGCAGAUUGGGUCCUCGAGCUGAAAGGAGGAGUAGACACAUUCCCCCAUCUAUAAUGCAAAAGCUAUCUCCGAUUGAUGACUACUUACAAAUGAAAAUUUAGUUUUCUCCAAAGGAGUCUCAAUGGGGAAGCAAAAUACGCUUAACAGUAGGCUGCCUGUCCAGUUGUAAAUGGCCAACAAAGCAAUGAACUCAGCCACAUCUUUUGAGGCUCCUUGUCUCAUAAUGUCAUGUCAGGGAUUUCUAUGUUUUAAUUUAAUUUAUUUUUUUACUCCCUACUUACCCUACAGCUCCUUUUGGUGUAUAGUAUGACUUCUAGCUUAGUGUUUUUAUGUGAUUCCUAGGCGUAUGAACAACUCUGAGUCUCUUUUUCUUGUGUCUUUUCUUGCAUUCUUUCCCUUUUGUUUAUUAUCCCUCAAAAUCCUGUUAAUUUUCUAAUGAGAGAUAGAAAAGGGAUAGCUCCAGAGAGAAGAGGGGGUAGGAACAGAGGAGAGUAAAAGGAAGGAAAUCAUAACCAGGAUAUAUAUGUAAGAAAAAAAUCUAUUUUCAAGAAAAGGAAAAAUAUUUUUGGAAAAAAUGUUAACAAAUUAUCUGGGCUAACUACUAGGAAAAUUGAGGUUAUUUUAGGGCAUAAGAAAGCAAUGGAUGGUACAGUGGUGUGGUGAUAUGAAGAAAUAGGAAAUGAAGUUUAUAUUUUAGUGAAGCGUCAGGUUGUUUACAGAGGACCCUUCCCAAACAGACAGAGGAUCUCUCCCAGAACUCUGUCUCCUAUAAAGAUGCAUCCAUUAUGAACAUUGUAGAUAAAGUUUUAGGAGAUAGCUUGUCUUUUAUUUUCUUAUUGAGAAUGAUAAAGUGGUUUUCCUCCUGGAAAUAUCCAAUCCAUCUCCUGAAUCAAGUUCUAAGCAUUUUGUAGUAUUUGACAUUGACAGAGGCAUCUUGUACUUUUUGCUUAUUACCAGUACCCUAUCAUCAUUUGUGGAUACAUCUUGAGCAAACAUUUAAUGCAUUAAUCAAAACCUUGCCUUUCUGACAGUGCUAGUGUUCAGCUGAAUAGGCAAGAUCUGAGAAACUCAUCAUCAUCCCCCAGCAGGCCAGCUGCACUCACACACACAUACACACACACACACACACACACACACACACACACACACACACACACUGUGUGGGAUUACUUUCUACACAGGCACUGAUCCUAAGCAUGCCAGCUGCACCACACACACACACACACACACACACACACACACACACACACACACACACACACCACACAAACACCACUGCGUGGGGGUUGUUCCUUUCUACACAGGCACUGGUUCCCAGCAGGCAAGUUUCACAUACACACUGUGUAGUGUACCCUUCUCUGUGGGCAGAGGUGUCUUGGCACACAGGAGUCACUUGAGAUAAUAGAUGCAUUUUUUGAAAAUGUUCUGAAAUGAUAAGACUGUUAUAAAAUGAGUGAGGAACACUGGUGCAUAUCUAAAAUCCCAUCAUUUGGGGAGCUGAGGCAAAAGGAUUAUGAUAACCAGAAUCAAGGGAGUAAGGGAGGGAGGGACAGAGGGAGGGAAAAACAGAGGUAGGGAGAGAGGGAGGGAAGGAGGGAGGGAGGCAGGCAAAUAAGCAUACGAAAAUCAUCAGACUGUCACUAAAGCAAAACAAAACAUCUGGAGGUCUGUCCUACCACACUGAGCCAAGUGACCUAUGAUUGUGUGCAUUGUUAGCCUGGAGAGAGUAAAACUGUAUAUACAGGGAGCGUAGAUAGUUAAGGACCAUGCUAUAAUAAAAUGACACAUAGUUAAUCUCCUUAAACAUUUUGAAAACAUUUAGAUUAAAAUAAAAAUAUACACAGACAAUAAAAUCUACUGCAUUUGAUAGCAGCAGACUCUCUUUGAAAACAUUUUGCUGUAUUCUGCUCCCAGUGGUGUGGUGACUAGAUUUUCUGAAAACCUUCUAGAUAAUAGCAGGGAGCAAGAAUAUGGUUAUUUCCCUCUUCACAGAGCAGUGGACUAAAGCCUGAUUUAAAAGACAAGCUGUAAACACAAAAAGUUAAGUCUGCUUACUGUGAUCGGGGCCUUGAAUGGGCUCUGAGAAAUGGUCAUCCAAAGCCACAUACUGCUGGGGACUCAGGGAGAGGUGACGAGGGGGGUAGAGUUGCUAUUAGUGCCUGGGUCUUGGAAUGCAUUUCUCAAAGCCCAAGAUCUCCUUAUUUUCUGUAUUUUCCACAGAUUAAAAGAUCCAGCUCAUAUCUUGUUACCAAAAUUUACUGAACUCACAUACACACACAAACGACACAGAUGAGAAAUUUCAGAAACAAGAGUGACAGAUUUAAAGCUCCAAGGACUUGAGAUAAUUACAAUGAACAGACAUAAAUAUAAAAUGGCUACAACUCGAAUAUGUCAAAAAAAAAAGUGAAAAGCAUUAAUUAGGAAACAAUAAAAGCCUGAUAGCAAUAAACAGGCAGCUUUAACAAAGAACCAACGAUUGCUUUCAGAAGUGCAAAAAUACAACCAUUCAAAUAAAGUGAGAGGUUUAGAAAGGCUGAAGAAAGAAUUAAUGAAUCCUGGAAAAUACAGGAACAAAGUCAGAGAGACCUAUGUGACAAUGGCCGUGUUCUGGGACACAGGCUUCAAUGAGACCAUAAAGCUCCAAUGAACGAGACUCUGAGGAAUGCAUCUGGGACUUCACCAUGGACUAGUUUGUCCCACUGGGGAUGUGUUACCUUCUAUCUGGAACCUCUGGGCUGCAUGGAGAGGAGCAGGGAUUUUAAAUUUGAAAUGUAUGCUAAUGACCUGUGAGGAGCCCGUUUUCUAUGUGUAACCCACAACUCCACUUGGUUUACACUCUGUACAUAUCCCUCUUCUAACAAUGCUCUUGCCAGCCUGAAACCCUUACCUGCAUGUGCUAUGCACUCACUCAGCUAAACAUGCACCUAGCAACCUGAUAGUAAUCUAGAAUUCCUGCAUGCAUAAAGUUGCAUGCACACCCCAGUUCCAACAACAAAAUCAGUCUCUCCUUCUGUUAAGAACUACCAAAUGUAGACAAAUUUUCCUUAGUCUCACUCUAGUUACAUCUAUGAACUAUUGUCUGAUUGAACUUUGCCAGAGAAUCAGUCCUCUUUAACAACUUAUGCCAAAUGGGUGUUCAAAGACUCAGACGAAAUGCAUUCUGGGAAGAGAUAUGAACAGUGUGUUUCCAUGAUCAAUCUUAUCUAUCAAAAUAGGAUACAGUAUACAAACCAAAUUAGGUUAUUGCCUGAGGCUCUUACUACUGUCAUUCACAUGGUCCACUGUGACUCUUGCUAGUGUGUAUGACCCAUUCCUUGUAUUUUGAAUAGGCUACCUUGAUGCUUUUGCAAAUGUGUAUAAGCCACUUUUCAAUUGUUUGAAUAAGAGGCAGUCUAUGGGGCCUCUGGUAGUGGAACAGAAUUUAUCCCUAUUGUAUGAAUGGACAUUGGGAGCCCAUCCUCCAGAGGGGGAUACUCUUUCAGUCUAAACACAUGGGGGAGGACUUAGGCCCUGCCCCAAAGGAUGUGACAGACUUUAAUGACUCCCCAUGGAAGGCCUCAUCCUUUCUAUGGAGCAGAAGAAAGAUGGGAUGGGGGGGUUGGUGGGGGGCAUGGGAGGAUGGGAUUGAUAUAUAAAAUAAGAUUGUUUCUAAUUUAAAUUUAAAAAAAAAGAAAAAGAAGGGAAAAAGAGACCAAGGGCCUGAAAACAAUUUGUCCAGUUGCUUCCCACCAGUGAAGCAAUGAGAUGGGUUGACCAUUGUCAUCCAUGUAAGCCCGUCUAUUCCAGAAUGAAUGAAAGGCCUGUGAAGAGAGGAUGAUUGUCCAGCUGCAUGGGCUUCAUUGCACUUAGGGAUUAGGGUUUCUAUAAAGCUGAUGUGGAAACCUAGAUUUUAAACUAUAACCUUUAAGUACAUUUUAAGUACAUUUUAUGUCCAUAAUCCACAUUAUUUAUUUAUUUGUAUUUAUUUAUUUAUUGGGUUUUUAUGUUGUUUGUUAGAGAUAGUGUUUCUCUGUAUAGUAUGGAUGUCCUGCAACUCAUUUUGUAGGCCAGGCUGCCCUCAAACUAAGAGAUCCUUAUACCUCUGCUUCCCAAGUGCUGGGAUUAAAGAUGUACACCACCACUCCCUGGCUCAUCAUCCACAUCUUAAAAAUUUUAUUCUUCUAGGCAAUUUUUAAUUUUAUGGAGUUUCUCAUUAUAUAGCUGACUUUAAACUUGUGACUAUUUGCUGCUAUUGUUUUGUUUGGUUUUGCGUCCCAGGGCCAGGAAUGGAGGCAUGUGCCACCAGGCACAGGAAGAAAUUUAAGUUGAACUAUCACUUCCCAAAUUUAGUUUGUUUCAAAAUACAACUAUUGCAGUGACCUUAGGAGACUACAAACCAUCUAACAAAAGUCUGCUCAUCUGAUCGUGUUACUAGUGGUUGAGAUCUGGUCACCUGUUUGCAGGCUCUUCGCCUGUUAUUCAAAGAAUUAAUGGCAAUACACAUUUGCACAAGUAGUAAGAUAAUAUUACUCAAAGUUAAUCGACAGAACAGGUCAGAUCCAUUACGUUCAAGUUUGUCCUUGUGUUUAAUGCUCUUGUCUGGCAGUGCAGUGCGGAGAGAGUAAGGUACAUGGGAUUACAUUGGUUUUUAAAUAAGCAUUUACUUUGAACUUCUCUGACUUUACCUCUUCACACACGUUUAGUUCUAUAACCUUAGUACUUUAGAAAAUCUAGAAUUAGAUACUUUUUGUUAGAAAUGUCCAACCAAAUACAUUUUCCUUUUUCUAUGCCUCCUCUGAAGAAUGGUGGUUUUAGGACUUCUGAAGACUUGGCAUGAUAAUAUGAGGCAGGCGCUGGGCUUCUCUACCCUUCCACAUCUCAACUCAUCACCCAGAGGCAUUAGAACGCACUUCCUAAUGCUCCGACCCUUUAAUACAUUCUUCAUAUUGUGGUGACCCCAAAAUAAAAAAAAAUUCAUUGGUACUUCAUAACUGUGAUUUUGCUACUCUUAUGAAUUAUAAAUAUCUGAUAUGAAACUCUCUGUGAAAGCGUCGCUUGACCCACCAAACGGGACACAACUCGUGGGUCAAGAACUGCUGUUCUACAGGCAUAGAUCCUAAGAGGACCCAAAUGCUGCUCCCGUAAGUUUACUGCACACUCUUGACCUCUUGGGAUUUUUCUACUUCCUGAGUUCUCUCUCAGAUGCUUCCUUUCAAAUACUGUGAA